rnacentral:rRNA from 1 species
GUACACACCGCCCGUCGCUACUACCGAUUGAAUGGUUUAGUGAGGCCUUCUGACUGGGCGCCGAUACUCUGGCAACAGAGCGCCGGAUGCCGGAAAGUUGGUCAAACUUGAUCAUUUAGAGGAAGUAAAAGUCGUAACAAGGUUUCCGUAGGUGAACCUGCGGAAGGAUCAUUACCGAUGAUAUUCGUCCAACAACUACACAGUUGUACCUUGUGAACCGUACCAAACUAUUCAGGGGUCGGCUUGUCCGUUAAAUGGUCGUCGGACGCGAGAGAUCGCGGCCGCUCGACCGGCCCCGCACGCGUUUUGUUUUUUAUAUAACAUAUGUGUACCUGUCUGACACAAGCGUUGCGGCCGGCCACAAGGGUCGGUCGUGGCAAUUAGAGCUAAAUAACGAGAUACAACUUUUGAUCGGUGGAUCUCUUGGCUCACGAAUCGAUGAAGAACGCAGCCAGUCGAUAAUAAUGAUGGAGCAUGUCUGUCUGAGUGUGGAUAUCAUCCAACGCACGCCAGCGUGCGGAAUUGAGGCGUCACGGUCCGUACUGCACGGACCGUGUCCUUGAAAGUCAGAGAGACUCGCCGCGUCGCGGGAAGAUUCCCCGUGCACACCAGCGGAGGCUAAAAUGUCUUUUGCCCUUCGCGUGCCGGGAAGUCGCCGCGUGCGGCGGUCGUCGUCGGGCGAACUUUAAUUAUCUUGACCUCAGAUCAGGCAAGGCUACCCGCUGAAUUUAAGCAUAUUAAUAAGCGGAGGAAAAGAAACUAACAAGGAUUCCCUCAGUAACGGCGAGUGAAGCGGGACCAGCUCAAAUUUGAAAUCUCCGAUGCCUGCAUCGGCGAGUUGUAGUUGCGAGAAGCACUUUCUAGGUGGAUCGGUCGUGCCUAAGUUGCUUGGAACAGCACGUCGCAGAGGGUGACAACCCCG